CUCCAAUAGGCAUGAGCCCCGCCCUCAGGAGGGGCUUUAAAAGGCAGAUGGAGCAGGGCUAUCCUCCCUCUCUGCACACUUGAGCCUGGAACCUUGAACUUCAGGAUGGCACAGGAAAGUGCAGACCAGGAAGCUCUUGGGCUCUCAGUUGAGCUGCCCUCUUCCCCACAAAGGUCUUUUCAAGAUGGGGGCACAGAUGAAGAGGAGCAACCACCACAAGGACAAGGAUCCAAGCCCAGUCCACAUGAGGAGAAGUCCCAGGAAAGGAAGCUCAGAGGCAGAAGCAGCAUUGCCAGAGCAGAAUCAGAGUCCAGCUGUGACGGGGUGAGCUCCAGGAAGAGGACAAUCAGUUCUGAGGACAGCAGCCACACGGGGACAGGUAGCAUCGUGCUUUCUCUGCCUAGAGGGUCAGGACCAGGGAGCUUAUCCAAGGUUGGGAAGGGAGGGGUUGUCAGAGAUUGAGAGCAGUUUCAAGAUCCCAAGAGCGUGUGAGGGGGAGGGUGGGUGCUGCCUAGGUUCCUGCUGGAGUCCAUUGUGGGGAAGGAAGUGCAGGAUUCGGUGGGGUUCACGUGAAGGGGGCAGGACUUAGGUUUUAGGGCCCAAGGAGCUGUGCUGAGUGUCUCCCGUGUGUCUCUGCAGGCAGCUGUGUGCAAGAGCUCAGCGUGACUUUGCAAAAGAAAGCAAAACCUUCGGACGAUGGAAAUGACAGAGGAAUUCAGGAGGCGCAUGCGGAACCUCGCAGGGCAUCCUCCAGGGCCCGCUCUGGGCACAAGAGGAGGCGCAGGUCCAGGUCCCCAGCAGACCAUCCACCGCCCCUUCGGAAGAGCCUGGUGACCUCCCUGCGCUCUCUGUCUGAGGCCAUUUAUGAAGAUUUAGCCCGGGUGCAGGCGCAGCAGGCGCAGUUCCCGCUGACCCAGGAGCAGCUGUUUGCGCUGGCACAGCUCUGCGGGCCUCUAUGCAGCGCCAUGCAGAGCUGCUAUGCGCUGGCCUCGCAGGCAGGCAUCCUGGGCCUUCCCUGCCCAGGGCUGGCUCCUCCCGGCCCAAGCCCCGGCCUCCGCCCGGGCCCCGGCCCCGGCCCCGGCCCCGGCCCCGGAGCACAUGCCUGCUGUCCAGUCGCGGGCACCUGCUCAGAGCUCCUCCCAGGAGGGGGAAGGCCAGCCCUCUGCUGAGCAGGAAGAACCUGAGGCACACAGGGCAUCAGACUAAUCUUGUGCUGGGGAGCCCGCAUGGUGGACACUAGAGGGCGCAUCUCUGACACACAGAAAGACUUGCUGCUGCUACUUCUCCGCAAGCCCAGCAGAGACCCUGUAGUCUGGAUGAGCUAAUGCCUAAGGGAAUCUGGGUGGCCAUAGGAAAGGAACUGGAGCAACUUCCUUGGAAUCAGGAACCUGUUCUUUCCUUGACAGAAGAAUGUCGGUUUUCACAUUACCAAUCUGGAUCCUUCUAACUGACUUGAAUUUUU
rnacentral:lncRNA from 1 species